rnacentral:rRNA from 1 species
GCUUAGGAAUCUGCCUAUUAAUGGGGGACAACAAUUCGAAAGGAUUGCUAAUACCGCAUACGCCCUACGGGGGAAAGCAGGGGACUCGUAAGAGCCUUGCGUUAAUAGAUGAGCCUAAGUCGGAUUAGCUAGUUGGUGGGGUAAAGGCCUACCAAGGCGACGAUCUGUAGCGGGUCUGAGAGGAUGAUCCGCCACACUGGGACUGAGACACGGCCCAGACUCCUACGGGAGGCAGCAGUGGGGAAUAUUGGACAAUGGGGGGAACCCUGAUCCAGCCAUGCCGCGUGUGUGAAGAAGGUCGUAAGACUGUAAAGCACUUUAAGCGAGGAGGAGGGUAACUAUGCUAAUACCAUGGUUUAUCGGACGCUACUCGCAGAAUAAGCACCGGCUAACUCUGUGCCAGCAGCCGCGGUAAUACAGAGGGUGCGAGCGUUAAUCGGAAUUACUGGGCGUAAAGCGCGCGUAGGUGGCAAAUUAAGUCGGAUGUGAAAUCCCCGAGCUCAACUUGGGAAUUGCAUCCGAUACUGGUUAGCUAGAGUAUGAGAGAGGAAGGUAGAAUUCCAGGUGUAGCGGUGAAAUGCGUAGAGAUCUGGAGGAAUACCGAUGGCGAAGGCAGCCUUCUGGC